CUGCAAUUCCGCUCCUCCCUCCUGCGUUGGCCGUUCUGUGUGUGUGACUCACCUCCUCUUCUGUUUAAAGCUGCCUACUUCAUUCAUCAUAGACAGCAGUUUAUCUUUCCAGACAUUUCGGCCUUUGCACACGCAGCCCCGCUCCCUGAAGCUGCCGACGGUACCCGGCUCGAUGACCAGCCGAAAGCAGAUGUGUUGGAAGCUCACGAAGCGGAGGCUGAGGAGCCAGAGGCUGGCAAGUCUGAGGCAGAAGACGAUGAGGACGAGGUGGACGACUUGCCGAGCUCUCGCCGGCCCUGGCGGGGCCCCAUCUCUCGCAAGGCCAGCCAGACCAGCGUGUACCUGCAGGAGUGGGACAUCCCCUUCGAGCAGGUAGAGCUGGGCGAGCCCAUCGGGCAGGGCCGCUGGGGCCGGGUGCACCGCGGCCG
rnacentral:sRNA from 1 species